rnacentral:tRNA from 1 species
UUUUCUAUAGUGUAAUUUAACACAUAACAUUUUCAUUGUUAUAAUAGAUCAUUUCUUAGAAACA